GACGAACGCUGGCGGCGUGCUUAACACAUGCAAGUCGAGCGAGAACCCGGGGCUUGCCCCGGGGGAAGCGGCGAACGGGUGCGUACCACGUGGGCAACCUGCCCCAGACACUGGGAUAACUCCGGGAAACCGGGGCUAAUACCGGAUACUCCGGCCGAACCGCAUGAUCCGGCCGGGAAAGCUCCGACGGUCUGGGAUGGGCUCGCGGCCUAUCAGCUUGUUGGUGGGGUAACGGCCUACCAAGGCUUCGACGGGGUAGCNGGUCUGAGAGGACGACCAGCCACACUGGAACUGAGACACGGUCCAGACUCCUACGGGAGGCAGCAGUGGGGAAUCUUGCGCAAUGAGCGAAAGCUUGACGCAGCGACGCCGCGUGGGGGAUGAAGGCCCUCGGGUUGUAAACCCCUUUCGGCAGGGACGAAGCGGAAGUGACGGUACCUGCAGAAGAAGUCCCGGCUAACUACGUGCCAGCAGCCGCCGUAAC
rnacentral:rRNA from 1 species